rnacentral:lncRNA from 1 species
CGCAAAACAUAGCUACCUGAGUUGCAUGAACAAUGCUUAAAACUAAUAGAAAUCCAACAAAUGUCCAAAAAGAUUUCAGUAAAGAUUUAAUAUAAUAACAUACCAAAGGUAUAGAGUAUAUAUAUGAUGCAUGUAAAACAAGAGAAACUGCACCAUUUACAAAACCUCGAUUUCUUUAUAAGUGUAGGUAAUACGAAUAUGCAUUUCUUAUAUCAAUAUACAGCAAUCCGUGUUUCUAAUUAAAAUGCCGUUAAUUUUCAAACUCGCUUAUUGUCUUCGAGGGAUAUUAAUUACUUAUAGUGUCACUUGACUGCCGAGAAUAUUAGAAGAGUGAAAAAGGUGAACUAAUAUAGCUAUGGUAAAAAUGCUGUGUUGUUCAUGCAUUUACCGACCCAUCUUCACCAGAAAGACUUCUUGGCUUCAUUGUCGUUGUCAGUGACCCUUCAUUAACCACUUGCGUGAUAUUGAUGUACGAUUUCUAAUAAAG